rnacentral:rRNA from 1 species
UACGUAGGGGGCUAGCGUUGUCCGGAAUCAUUGGGCGUAAAGCGCUUGUAGGCGGUUCGGUAAGUCCGCUGUGAAAGUCGGGGGCUCAACCCUCGGAUGCCGGUGGAUACUGUCGGACUAGAGUACGGAAGAGGCGAGUGGAAUUCCUGGUGUAGCGGUGAAAUGCGCAGAUAUCAGGAGGAACACCGAUUGCGAAGGCAGCUCGCUGGGACGUUACUGACGCUGAGACGCGAAAGCGUGGGGAGCAAACAGG